GUGGGGAAUUUUGGACAAUGGGCGAAAGCCUGAUCCAGCCAUGCCGCGUGCAGGAUGAAGGCCUUCGGGUUGUAAACUGCUUUUGUACGGAACGAAAAGACUCUGGUUAAUACCUGGGGUCCAUGACGGUACCCACAGAAGAAGCACCGGCUAACUACGUGCCAGCAGCCGCGGUAAUACGUAGGGUGCAAGCGUUAAUCGGAAUUACUGGGCGUAAAGCGUGCGCAGGCGGUUUUGUAAGACAGUGGUGAAAUCCCCGGGCUCAACCUGGGAACUGCCAUUGUGACUGCAAGGCUAGAGUGCGGCAGAGGGGGAUGGAAUUCCGCGUGUAGCAGUGAAAUGCGUAGAUAUGCGGAGGAACACCGAUGGCGAAGGCAAUCCCCUGGGCCUGCACUGACGCUCAUGCACGAAAGCGUGGGGAGCAAACAGGAUUAGAUACCCGGGUAGUCC
rnacentral:rRNA from 1 species